rnacentral:antisense_RNA from 1 species
UAACGGGAAGAAAUCAAUUCCUUCUCUUGGCUCUUUGGAUGCAGUUGCUGUAGAUAAAACAGUAGUAUCGCCAUAAUGCAUUAAUGCAGCGCCGUUUGCCUGUUUUGCAACACGGUUGAUGUCUACGGUUAAGGUUCUUCCAGCUAAUUCCAUGGAAUAACUUUUGUACAUACGUUCAUUCUCCUUUUUUCAUAUUCUGGUUGUUAUAUUACUUCUUAUCAAAUCUGCCUGUAUCCCUAUACCUUUCCAUACAGGAAUAUCGGGCUUUUAUAAAAUCUCACACAUCAAAACAGGAGUCCGAAACAACUGAAAAAAAUACUUUGUUUAAAGUU